UGGUUUACUUUCACUGCUGCACACAACUGGAGGCAAGGCAAGCUGCAUAAGCUUGACAUCAGGAAGCUCCUGAAGCAUCAGCUGAACAACUGAGAAAGAUGUAGACUCUACAGAGGAAAGCUGAAGUUAACUUACAUUUGUUCUAUCCGGUUUCCAUCCUUUGUCUGUUUUCACCUCAACAUUGCAAAAGUACCUGUAGAACACAGCUCCCCAAUACUGUUCAAGAUCCACCACCCUGCCUGGUUUCCAGCUCUCCCAGCUGAUUACCUGGAUCAGGUGUGUUCAAUCAUUCAGAACGAGGAGACACCUGAGUCAGCUCCCAGCAGUGAUCAGAGAACUGUAAAACAUUCAGGGCCAGGAUUGGGCAGCCCUGCUUUAGAAGAGCAAACAUGGGUGAUGCUUAUCAGAUGUAGUCAAUGUUGUGUUUAAAGUUGUACUGCACUGCAGGUGAUGCUCAAGCUUAGUUCCUCUUGUUUGGUGUCCGUUUGCAUCGCAACGCUGACCGACUCCCAGCAGAAUCUUUCUGUUGGGCAAACAAGCGCAGGUGGCAGUGAUCCGGGCAUAAAUAUUUCAGGAGUGUAGCUUUUAGCGGGGCUUUGAAAGGUGGUUUUCUUUGCUAAAGAGGAGUGGGGAAUAAGGGGAAGUAGACCGCAGCACAACUCCAGGAUACAGCUGUAGGAAACCAUCCAGCUGCUCCAUACAUUAUUGAAGACGUCAAUGUCCUGUUUGUCCCGCCUCGGCAGUUAGAAAAGGAAAAAGCCUGCAGCACCAAUGCAACAUUGGGCUCGGUGCAUCUGUGGUGAUCCUUGUAGCAGUGGUUCCCAACCUUUUUCGAAUCGGUUUAAUGCCAGACGGCAUGUUCUCGGACCGACCUGUAAGACACUGAAGUGGACGUCUGGCGUUUGGUUUUGGCUUCCAGUUUUUUUUACUUUUUGAGGAUGCAUGGACCGGCCUGCGGGUUAGGGAUUCAUUUUUGACCAAGAGUUGCAAGAAGAAUCACUUCUGAAGCUUUAUUCUUUUUGUUUGUAAAAAUGCUGUCUCCAAAAGCAAUGAGAAUCAUUUUCAGAACUGAAACACCCAGAAGAGCCUGCAACAGGAAAUCAGGUUUCUCUAAAUUCUUACCUAGGUUUCCUGUUUACUUCAGAGUGAAGAAGCCGAGUCCUUGAAGAGAGCGGACUGAAACCCAACUGCUCGCGUGCACAUCGCACCAUGAGUGUAUGUGCACGGAAUAGUAGCUAACUGUAAAGCCACGACGCUCUGGCUUCCAGACUGAAGCACAUCAGUUCGCAGUCAGUCUCUGCUCACUCCACUGUAAAAGGACUGUUUCCACCUCUGUGUUUGGCUUUAAAGCCACAGAAAAAAAUCAUUGAACUUCUAUGAAUUUUUGUAUGUUUGGGAUCAAGCAUGUGCGAUCUUCUUUGAUAAAAAAUGCUUAAAUUCUUUGAA